rnacentral:snRNA from 1 species
AUUCAUAAAGCCCUCCCUAGAAGGGACAAAUCUUUCACCUUUUACUAAAGAUUUCCACGGAGAGGAACAGUUGUGAGUUGGUGACCAAAUUUUUUGAGGCCUUAAAUAAAUAAAGUCC